AUCGAACGCUGGCGGCAGGCCUAACACAUGCAAGUCGAGCGAGCGGCGGACGGGUGAGUAAUAUAUGGGGAUGUGCCCGAGAGAGGGGGAAAACCACGGGAAAGGGUGUCUAACACCGCAUACUAUCGUAUGCACCUAUAUGGGAUUAGCUAGUAGGUGGGGUAAAGGCGCAUCUAGGCGACGAUCUCUAGCUGGUCUGAGAGGAUGAUCAGCCACACUGGGACUGAGACACGGCCCAGACUCCUACGGGAGGUAGCAGUGGGGAAUAUUGCACAAUGGGCGCAAGCCUGAUGCAGCCAUGCCGCGUGUAUGAAGAAGGCCUUAGGGUUGUAAAGUACUUUCAGCGGGGAGGCGUUACCCACAGAAGAAGCACCGGCUAACUCCGUGCCAGCAGCCGCGGUAAUUC
rnacentral:rRNA from 1 species